UUUUUUUUUUUUUUUUUUUUUAUGAAGGAAAGGUAGGCGAGGGCCUAAACACAUGCCAGGGAAGAAGAAAUGAACAGAUUGCUUUUUCAGGAGUCACAUAGUUUAACCGUGAACUCAGUUCAAAUGCUGCUCCACUCCCUGGUGGAGUGCAUCAUCCUUCACUUACCUGGCAGGGUUGCAUCCUGAGAAAUGCAUCACUGGGCAAGUUUGCCAUUGUGUAGACAUCAAAGGGCGCUUAUGCAAACGUACAUGGCAUACAUAUGGCAGUCACUCAGCAUGGCCUCUAGAUAAACACAAGAUAGAAGAGGUUGCUGUCAGGGUAACACUUGUGGUUUUCCUGUUUGUGUAAGAUAUGGUCUCAUGUAGCCCAGGUUAGACACGGUCUCGUGUAGCCCAGGUUAGCCUUGAAGACCCAAUGUAGCUGAGGAAACUCCUGAUCUUCCUGUCUUCACCUACCAAGUACUGGAAUUACAGGUCUGUGCCACAAAGCCAGCCCACAGCACCCUGCUCUACAGUGAACCUUCUUUGUUUUUCAGACUCUGACACCGACUGGCUGUGUGAUCCUGGACAGACUGCAUCACCUCAUGGACAUUUUUUCAUCUGUGAGGGGAAGAUUUCCUGGCAGUGGUCUGAGAAAUGGUGGCAAGGACUGAAGGAGUUACAUGCAUGGAGAGUACUGUACCACCAGUUGGGCAGAGAUGGAAUUGCACUUCUUUUUGCUCUGUCUUUUCAUCAUCUUAGAAGUGGGUGGAGCCUCCUCUUCAUAAUUCCUACAGGGUUUAAUACUGAGGAGAAACUUUGUAAAGUAAAGGAUUUUUAGGGUUGGGGCGGUGGCACAGUAGGUAAAGCGCUCGCUGUGUCAGCCUGAGGACCCGGGCUGGUACUUACAACAAAGCAUGGUAUGAUCAUCAAUAAUGCCAGCACAGUUGCAUAACGACGGGCACAUCCCCGGGGAAUCAGCUGCCAGCCAAUCUCAUGCUAGGUUCAGUGAGCAAUUUCUCCCCAAAAAUAAGCUGGAGAAGGACAGAGGAUGACGCUGAACUUUGACCUCUGGCCUCCACACACAUGCAUGAGUGAGUGCACCCACAUCAACACACACACACACAUGUGAAAAACAAAUCUUUUAAAAUAAUAAUAUGGGUCCCUAAGUACUGGAAUUGAGAACAGUGCCUACAUCCCAACGUUUGUAAGAUGUCAGUGGACUGCAGAAUAAGUGUGGGGAUAGUCCUCAUGGUAAUUAUUUGAAGUUUCUUUCGGGCGGUAGUAAAUGUCAAAUUCUUUCCAUUAA
rnacentral:lncRNA from 1 species